CGCGUUACAAUUUUUUUCGACAAAAAGAAUAUAUUAAUAUCACGAAGAUAUCAAUUACAAACAGCCUCUGCAUCAACCAGAUAUCCAAAAACAUCAUGGAUGCACACAACGAAGAACAAAAUAAACAAUAGAGAAAAUAAAAACAAAGACCCCGUGACGGUGUACAACACCUCGCAACAGAAGCACUCUAACCACCACCGAAUACAACACCCGUACUACAACCUAGGCUCUCCAAAAGCAACGCCUCCAAGAAGGAAACAAUGCACAAGCAUUGUCGUCGACCGAUCGAAGAUCUUGGGUUUUCACCCCGGAGAAAGACCGAGUUUCCAAAACAAUGCCUUCAACAAGGCCAUUGCUAGGCACAACGAAUGAAGGCCGGACCUGGGGUUUCCACCCUGCAAAUCAAGACUCAGUACUAGACGAGCACCACCAAAGAUGCAGUCCACCUGUGUUGCCACCCCCGCUUCCCAAGGCUGCUGCUGCGAGUCGCCGCGCACCCGACACGCAGGGAGCACGUUCUCUUCAACACAACCAACCAACCAAAUUCCGAUCGCAGCCACCAUGACAUUCUACAACUCUGUUAGAUCCAUGGAAAUCUAUACGAAGGCACGUCCCAUAUCACCGAAAGGUAGACGAUUCCGGGGCACACGAUCGCAUCGACUAGAUCUCCAGUAGCAUCAUGUGCCAGACUGCAGAGAUCAACGAGAAGAAGACUGGAACUCGUCGACAGCCAGACCGAGGAGGUUGACAUGAAGCCGUGCCGAAACUCCACUGGGCUGGACCCCCCAUAUUCGAAACCUGGCCAACAUCCCCCACGCAAACGGCCAUCCCCGGCCGCCCGUCCCACUGGAAGAGGCCGGCAGAAUGAAGGCGACCCUGGCCGCCACGCCCGCAAGUGCCGCGACGAGCCACGCUGCGGCGGAGAAGAGCACGAGAUGGCCGCACGGGGCGCUGCAGCCGUGGCCCUUCCGGCCCAGCCAGACCCAGACCACCGCCAGCCGCACCACCGCCCAGAUCCGCCGCUCCACCACCGCAAGAACCCGCCGCCUCGCCGGAUUGGGCGCCACGCCAAACUGUGUGCGACCCAUCAGCUCCUCCUCUCCGCACGAAAAGGAAGAACAGGGGUGCGUCGUCCUCGCCCUCACCGCCUUCGACGGCCAGGGCGCCGCCACCACCACCACCGCCGACGGCGGCGGCAGCCAGAGAUGCCCGGUGGUUAGGUUUUUUUUGGUGGAGGUGUGUUCGCCUUGGAGCCGCACGCGCGUGCGACCCGGAGGCGUUAUCCGUGUAUUAGUUCAGACACUUAUGAUUUAGGCCAUCAGAUAAAUAUCCAAUGUUAGACACGCGUCGCCACUGUUUAUCUUCUUCCUCCCCCUUCUUCUUCCU
rnacentral:rRNA from 1 species